rnacentral:rRNA from 1 species
AGAGUUUGAUCAUGGCUCAGGACGAACGCUGACGGUGUGCUUUAGGCAUGCAAGUCGAACGAGAAAGCCCUUCGGGGUGAGUAAAGUGGCGAACGGGUGAGUAACACGUGGGCAACCUGCCCCUCGCAGGGGGACAACCGGAGGAAACUCCGGCUAAUACCCCGUACGCUUGUUGGAUCGCAUGGUCCGGCAAGGAAAGGUAGCUUCGGCCAUCCGGCGAGGGAUGGGCCCGCGUUGCAUUAGCUAGUUGGUGGGGUAACGGCCUACCAAGGCGACGAUGCGUAGCUGGUCUGAGAGGAUGAUCAGCCACACUGGGACUGAGACACGGCCCAGACUCCUACGGGAGGCAGCAGCCAGGAAUCUUGGGCAAUGGGCGAAAGCCUGACCCAGCAACACCGUGUGGGCGAUGAAGGCUCUAGGGUCGUAAAGCCCUGUUGAUAGGGACGAAGGGCGAAGGGUUAAUAGCCCCUAGCUUGACGGUACCUUUCGAGGAAGCCCCGGCUAACUACGUGCCAGCAGCCGCGGUAAUACGUAGGGGGCGAGCGUUGUCCGGAAUUAUUGGGCGUAAAGAGCGUGUAGGCGGUUCGGUAAGUCUGCUGUGAAAUCCUGGGGCUCAACCCUGGGCGUGCAGCGGAUACUGCCGGGCUAGAGGGUGGUAGAGGCGAGUGGAAUUCCCAGUGUAGCGGUGAAAUGCGCAGAUAUUGGGAGGAACACCAGUAGCGAAGGCGGCUCGCUGGGCCACACCUGACGCUGAGACGCGAAAGCGUGGGGAGCGAACAGGAUUAGAUACCCUAGUAGUCC